UCCCUUAGAUGUUCUGGGCCGCACGCGCGCUACACUGACGCAUUCAACGAGUCUAAAACCUGCUCUGAUAGGGGUGGGUAAUCUUUUGAAUGUGCAUCGUGAUUGGGAUAGAUGAUUGCAAUUUUUCAUCUUCAACGAGGAAUGCCUAGUAAACGCAAGUCAUCAGCUUGCAUUGAUUACGUCCCUGCCCUUUGUACACACCGCCCGUCGCUCCUACCGAUUGAAUGAUCCGAUGAAUAUCAUGGAUUGAGGAUGCAAGCAGGUUCGCCUGUCUUCAUCUUCGAGAAGUGAAGUAAAUCUUAUCAUUUAGAGGAAGGAGAAGUCGUAACA
rnacentral:rRNA from 1 species